rnacentral:lncRNA from 1 species
CCCAUACAUGUUAUUUUUAUUUACAUGAUAUAAUAAAAUUGGCCAUCAAGAAUUAUGUUGUGAUGAAUGUCAUCAUUAGUAAAAUUUGGAGAGGCAUCAACAUGGCUUGUUCUUUUGAGGUUUUCAAAUUUAGUAAUUAACCUUGAAAAAAAUACUAAAGGCAACAUAACUAAAGAAGUACCCUCAAUUUACAUGAUAGCAAGAAUUAUGUUGUGAUGAAUGUCAUCAUUAGUAAAAUUUGGAGAGGCAUUGGCAUGGCUUGUUCUAUUGAGGUUUCAAAUUUAAUGAUUAGACUUAAAAAAAUGCUAGAGGCAACAUAACUUAACAAGUACACUCAAUUCUUAUAAUCCUAGGAAUAUGAUGUAUGAUAUAGAGUUUGAUGAUGCUAUGUGACAUGGAUCUAUUGUCAUAUGCUUCACUUAUUAGCUGUAUUGACUUCUAUAUAUUUGCUCUCUUCUUUGUGACAAUUCACAAGCACCUAUUUGUUUGUUUGAGGAAAUAAACAAAUUUAGGUCAUAGUUUGGGUCAACCCUAUGAUCAAAGUUUUCUUUUUUUUAUACAACUUUUUUAUUUGUAGAUUAAGGCUCAAAAAAUUUGAAGUUGGAAAAAGGGAAGAUGGGUGAAUGCACUUGCUCAUAUGAAACAAAGAAAAAGCUAACCCAAUUCAUUAUGGAUAAAUAUUGUGAUCAUAAAUACCAUCAUAUGUUCUAAGAUGUUGUAACUCAAGUGUAAUAAACACUUAAAAUCAACUUGAUGUAGUAGACCCCUAUAUAUUAUUAUUAGUAUAUCUAAUAUAGUCAAAAUGAUCUAACUAACUUCCUCUUACUGAUUAUGAUAUCGAAUUGAGAUAAAGAAAAGUACACAUAGACUAAACACACAUACUAUAAUAAUUAGAGAUUUUGACUCUCAACGUCUAUCAUCUAUCCCAAUAGCCUUUAGGCUUAUUGGGUUUCACUUAUUUGAUUUGACAUUUUAACAAUUAAAUACUCAUGAACAUUAUAUUUAUUUUAACAAUUAAAUACUCUCAAGGUAAUU